GUCCGUUGGUGUUAUUGUACUAUUAUAUUUAUAUUAUGCCUUUGUGAAGUGACUUACUAGUCGCAGUAUUUUGUUAGAUAUUGGGGUAUAUAACGUAGUUAUGUCGUUUUAAGAAUUAUGAGACUUUAAUAUUCCGGUCACCCUUCAUAGAACCUAGUGCCCGACUAAUGCAUUAUUAUUAUAUAACUUGCUAUUGAACCUGGGAGAUGGAUGGUCAAGCAAAGAACGUCUCUUCAUAAACGCCACCGGUCUACGGGCUGCUCUAGGAGCAAGAGCCCGUGCUGGCUUAAGGCCAGCUUAAUCUCUAACAAACGCCACCUUCCAACUUCAUUCAAAAACAGGAUUGUACAUAGUCACUGAGUUGCCAAUAAUUGGAGGUAACUGCGACUUUAGCAAUUAAUUGUUCACGGCUGUCUGAGGAGUGCAAGAUUCUGUCUGAGGAGUGCAAGAUUCUGUCUGAGGAGUGCAAGAUUCUGUCUGAGGAGUGCAAGAUUCUGUCUGAGGAGUGCAAGAUUCUGUGAACGGCUUAUCCUUCGUUUGGGCUGCUUUUUGUAGCUGAAAGAUACAGCUUCUGGGGAAAGCAUGACAUAAGAAUUUUUUUAAUAGUCUUCAUUGGUUGAAAUGAUUGUUGACUAUUUACUAAAUCCUAUUGCUUCAUUUUUAAAUUCAGAAUGUAAUGUAAUGA